rnacentral:rRNA from 1 species
AGAUUUAGAGCACAUCCUAAAGAUACCAAUCGUGUCUGGCCUUGGAAGCUAAGCAGGGCCAGACCUGGUUAGUAUUAGGAUGGGAGGCCACCAAUGAAUCCCAGGUGCUGCAUCUU